GACGAACGCUGGCGGCGUGCUUAACACAUGCAAGUCGAACGGAAAGACCCUGCUUUUGUGGGUUGCUCGAUUGGCGAACGGGUGAGUAACACGUGUGUAUCCUGCCCCUGACUUUGGGAGAACUUCACGAAACAGCGGCUAAUACCGCAUAUAAGCUCCUGCACCAUGGUGUUGGAUGGAAAGUGUCGGCGGUAGUGGAUGGUUUCGCGGCUUAUGAGCUUCUUUGUGGGGUAGGUGCUUACGAAGGCUUCGACGGGUAGCCGGCCUGAGAGGGUGACCGGCGACAUGGGGACUGAGAUAGGGAGCAGAAGCCAACGGGCGGCAGCAGUCGGGAGUAUUGCACAAUGGGCGGGAGCCAGUGGCAGAAACGCUGGGUGCGGAAUGCCGGCUUUCGGGUGGUAAACAAAUUUCGACUGAACCGAGGCCGGAGUGACGGUAAUGGGUAAAGAAGCAACGGCUAACUACGUG
rnacentral:rRNA from 1 species